AACGAACGCUGGCGGCGUGCCUAACACAUGCAAGUCGUGCGAGAAAGUUCCUUCGGGAGCGAGUAAAGCGGCGCACGGGUGAGUAACACGUAGGUAACCUGCCCCCCAGUCUGGAACAACUAGAGGAAACUCUAGCUAAUGCCGGAUGAGACCACGAUCCCUUCGGGGGUUGCGGCCAAAGAUGGCCUCUACUUGUAAGCUAUCGCUGAGGGAUGGGCCUGCGGGCCAUUAGCUUGUUGGUGAGGUAACGGCUCACCAAGGCUGUGAUGGCUAGCUGGUCUGAGAGGAUGACCAGCCACACUGGGACUGGAGACACGGCCCAGACUCCUACGGGAGGCAGCAGUGGGAAUAUUGCGCAAGUGGGCGAAAGCCUGACGCAGCGACGCCGCGUGGGUGAUGGAA
rnacentral:rRNA from 1 species